rnacentral:lncRNA from 10 species
GGGGGUUUCUAGCCCAAUUCAGUGCUGGGAAGCAAGAGCUCACUCACUCUCCCAUCCCCCUUUCCCACUACCCACCCCUCCCCUCCUGCCAGCAAAUGGAGGCAGCACAUUUUCACUCCAAUUUCCACUUAAAGCUGCAGCUGCUGUCGCCGCCUGGGAACCCCUAUCUUUUUACAUGUUAUUGUGGAUCAGUUGCCCGCUGCUGCAAUAAAGAACUCUCAGUGGGUUGCCUGGAAUUUCUAACUCAGUGCCACAGAAAACCUGGUGGAUAAGGAAACAAGAGGCUGCGCUUCAGUGGUGGUGUGCAAACUCCAGGCCGUCUACCCUGCACUGUGAUGGUGGAGAUCGGUGCUUCAAGGUUAACAGAGCAAGAUGAAAACCUCCAGGAUGGCUGAGUCCACGCGGGUAUGCUGCCUGCAAGGGUGAGCUGGAAAAAACAACAAAACAUAAAUAAGCACAUUUCUCCAUUUCUAAUACGGAAAUUUGGAUUUCUGCUCAGAGAUCAUCGUUCACCAAGAAUCUGAAUUUUUAAUCAAUUUCUUAUCUAUUUGAACACAACAUGGAUGAGAGACAUGUCCAAACCUUUCUGGGUUGCAAAUACUGAGUGGGAGGCCAGCCUUCAUCACCAGGCGAGAGGUCUUGUUCCACCCCCGAGCUUGACCGCAUGGGAAUCAAAUUCAUGACUCAGCCAAGCUUGGCAUGGCUGCAUGUGAUGGGGUAUGGUGGCCAUCAGUGCUAUUUGCUAAAUAUGUAAGGGCUUCCUUCCUGCCUUUUGGUAGAAUUGCACUUCCCUGCCACCUUGCCGUUUGGUGCAGUCAUGUGACUGGUGUUGUCUAAGACAUGUGAGUGGAAGCAGCGUGUAUCAUUUUUGAGCCAAUGUUCAUUAAACCACUUUAGCUUCCACCUGUCAUGGUGAUUUUCUAGAAAUGUGUCAAGAUGAAGGCUGGGGCCCUGAGCAAAUACAAUGUGCAGACACCACUGUAUUCACAGAAGGGAAACAUAGCAUUUGAGAGAAUUAGCUGUUUCUUAUUUUAAGCUGCUGAGAUUUGGGGAUCUUUUAACUGCCCAUAAGCCAUCCCAAUUAACACACAGAGUCAUUUACAAAUCAUUAAAGCCUCUGAUGUUAAAUCUGUGAAUUGAAAUGUUCUACAAUGUGCAAAUCACUUUGGUAACUUUUUUUUUUUUCAUCUAGAAAAACUCAGUCCUUCGUCAGCUCUGAAUUGUGGUGGUAAACUCCUGGGUUCUAUCUGAAGUCAAAUACCAAGGAGAAGGUGCAAGCUUCGCCUUCUGGAAUAAAUUCAGUGAACUGCCA